rnacentral:rRNA from 1 species
AUUGAACGCUGGCGGCAUGCCUUACACAUGCAAGUCGAACGGUAACAGGUCUUCGGAUGCUGACGAGUGGCGAACGGGUGAGUAAUACAUCGGAACGUGCCUAGUAGUGGGGGAUAACUACUCGAAAGAGUGGCUAAUACCGCAUGAGAUCUACGGAUGAAAGCAGGGGAUCGCAAGACCUUGUGCUACUAGAGCGGCCGAUGGCAGAUUAGGUAGUUGGUGGGAUAAAAGCUUACCAAGCCGACGAUCUGUAGCUGGGCUGAGAGGACGAUCAGCCACACUGGGACUGAGAAACGGCCCAGACUCCUACGGGAGGCAGCAGUGGGGAAUUUUGGACAAUGGGCGCAAGCCUGAUCCAGCAAUGCCGCGUGCAGGAUGAAGGCCUUCGGGUUGUAAACUGCCUUUGUACGGAACGAAAAGCCCCGGGUUAAUACCCUGGGGUCAUGACGGUACCGUAAGAAUAAGCACCGGCUAACUACGUGCCAGCCGCCGCGGUAA